UACGUAGGGGGCUAGCGUUGUCCGGAAUCAUUGGGCGUAAAGAGCGUGUAGGCGGUCCGGUAAGUCCGUUGUGAAAGUCAGGGGCUCAACCCUUGAAUGCCGGCGGAUACUGUCGGGCUAGAGUCCGGAAGAGGCAAGUGGAAUUCCCGGUGUAGCGGUGAAAUGCGCAGAUAUCGGGAAGAACACCCGUGGCUAAGGCGGCUCUCUAGUACGGUACUGACGCUGAGACGCGAAAGCGUGGGGAGCGAACAGG
rnacentral:rRNA from 1 species